rnacentral:lncRNA from 1 species
CCUCAGGGCCAGCCUAGGUGGGGCUGUCACCAUGAACAAACCUACCUCUGCACAGAUUUGGGAAAGAGAAAGUUAAGCUGCCCUGCUGGAAUUGAACCAGUGACCUAAGACAGGAAAGGAUUGCUUACAACUCAAAACAUCGCCGAGUAA